rnacentral:rRNA from 1 species
GUAGGGUGCAAGCGUUGUCCGGAAUUACUGGGCGUAAAGGGAGCGCAGGCGGACCGGCAAGUUGGAAGUGAAAACUAUGGGCUCAACCCAUAAAUUGCUUUCAAAACUGCUGGCCUUGAGUAGUGCAGAGGUAGGUGGAAUUCCCGGUGUAGCGGUGGAAUGCGUAGAUAUCGGGAGGAACACCAGUGGCGAAGGCGACCUACUGGGCACCAACUGACGCUGAGGCUCGAAAGCAUGGGUAGCAAGCAGGAUUAGAUACCCUGGUAGUCCAUGCCGUAAACGAUGAUUACUAGGUGUUGGAGGAUUGACCCCUUCAGUGCCGCAGUUAACACAAUAAGUAAUCCACCUGGGGAGU